rnacentral:rRNA from 1 species
GAACUGAAGAGUUUGAUCAUGGCUCAGAUUGAACGCUGGCGGCAGGCCUAACACAUGCAAGUCGAGCGGCAGCACGGGUACUUGUACCUGGUGGCGAGCGGCGGACGGGUGAGUAAUGCCUAGGAAUCUGCCUAGUAGUGGGGGAUAACGUCCGGAAACGCUAAUACCGCAUACGUCCUACGGGAGAAAGUGGGGGAUCUUCGGACCUCACGCUAUUAGAUGAGCCUAGGUCGGAUUAGCUAGUUGGUGAGGUAAUGGCUCACCAAGGCGACGAUCCGUAACUGGUCUGAGAGGAUGAUCAGUCACACUGGAACUGAGACACGGUCCAGACCCCUACGGGAGGCAGCAGUGGGGAAUAUUGGACAAUGGGCGAAAGCCUGAUCCAGCCAUGCCGCGUGUGUGAAGAAGGUCUUCGGAUUGUAAAGCACUUUAAGUUGGGAGGAAGGGCAGUUACCUAAUACGUGAUUGUUUUGACGUUACCGACAGAAUAAGCAC